UUUGUUGUUGUUGUUGCUAUUUCUUGGGCCGCUCCCGCGGCAUAUGGAGGUUCCCAGGCGAGGGGUCGAAUCAGAGCUGUAGCCACUUCCGAGCCGCGUCUGCAACCUACACCACAGCUCACGGCAACGUCGGAUCGUUAACCCACUGAGCAAGGGCAGGGACCGAACCCGCAACCUCAUGGUUCCUAGUCGGAUUCGUUAACCACUGCGCCACAACAGGAACUCCUGGUAUUUUCUUUUUAAGGUCCUACAAAUGGUAGCAAACAUACUAAUACAGAAAAAAUUCUAAUGAAUGCUUAAAAAAAAGAAAAAAAAGAUAACUAAGUAAACUUCAAGAGCUGCAAAUAAAAACACAAAAACUGAUACAGGCACAGGCUCAGAAAAGUGGAUGCCCUAAUGCUUGCACACAGCUGCACCACCCACGGAAGCAUCAAAAGUGAAGUUAACCACACACCUUUAACAAGGCAGAAGCAGCCACCAAGAGCAGAGCAGAUGGGGGCAUGUCAGGUGGGGCAGCUGCUUCAAGCCAGGGGCGGAUGGUGGCAGGUGGUGGGGGGCAAGGAGAGAGAGAGACAGGGAGGGCAAGAGAGAAAGGAAGGCUGGGAGGGAGAGAGGAAAAUGAAAAAAACAAAGAGGAAAAAACUAAAUUCCAUAAAGAAAUAUUAUAGCAUAUGGCAAAACCAACACAGGGCAAGGCGUUAACAGAUUUGAGGUUCUAGUUCUAGGUCUAUUAUAUUGUAUUAAAGUUGAUUUUAGAAUGCAUGUAUUUUACAUAUACUUUGUAUAAAACACAGAGGUUUAUCAUGCCUUGUAUAACUGAUCUUAUGAGUAAAAAGACUGAUAAAUAAAAAUCAAUGAACCACUCAGUUUCGAAUACAAAGGUAUCUGAGAACUAGUGAACACCGGGAUCAGUGGCAACCAUAAAAGGAGGAAGCUGUCAGUUUGUUCAAAAAUCACAUAUAAUAUAUAGCAAAACUACAACUGCCCAAGUAACCAGAGCAUUAAAAAUGAAAUCAUGAAAGCAGAGACUUCAGUUGCUGUUUUUCUAUAUUUCUCCAGCACCUAAAAAGUGUCUAGUGGUUUCAAGUAGGCAUUCAAACACUUGCUGAAUAUAUAUACUCCCCAACUAACACACUGUAAUCUCACAGUCCCUGCCUAAUACUUACUGACUUUAUGACUCAAGUUCACAUUAACCAGUACUUUUUAAACUCUGUGAGAUCACAAGUUGAAUAAAAUUCUAUCCUUUUUAAUAAUCAUAUUCUAAUUUCUCUGAACUCUUUUGAAAAGAUGAGAAAUUAUCAAAUAAAGAAGAGUUUAUGACUUAAGCCAUCUGAGUGAUAUAUUAAUCACAAGUGCUUACAGUUUAUAAAAGUAAAAACUGAAAGUUGUAAUGUUUUUCUACUGUAAGUUGCAGUCACAAAGAUGUGCUACGGUUCUUCCCCAAAAUAUUUACUAUAUAAAAUUUUUCAAUACCAACAAAGACAAGUUAGCUAAGAACAGAUGUUGAUGAUUAUAUCAUAUGAUGUUACAGAUUACCCAUAUAUUUUAAGUUCUGGACACAUUGUAUCAAUGUGAUACUUAAAACCAUUAAUUACUACACAGAUGUCAUGUAUCAACUACAAAAGAUUACAAUCAGAGAGAAAUCUUCAAGUCGGAAGUAUUUCUAAGAUAGGGGACAACUUUUAAGAGAAAGAUAGAAUAAUAGAUACCGAGUAAAAAAGAAGAACCGCUGUAAUUAGCUGACUCCUGUCAGAACUGCACUGAGACAGGUGUAAACAAUCUGUUAAGAAAGUUCCAAAGCAGAAGUCAUGUCUUACUGAAGAUGACUCUGGAAAGACUUUAUGACAAAAGAAACAAGGACCAUGACAAUUUCUGCCUACCCAUUCUAUCUCCGACUCUGAAUAACAGUGCACUGAACACAGAAUAUUAUCAAUAUUUAUUGGCUGAAUAAACAAACACUGAGGGACUGAGAGGACCCACUAGCAUGAGAGAAGCAUGUAAGGAAAAGAAUAAAGACGGAAAAAAGGUGUGUUCAAAAAACAAGGAACAGCCUAAUUUUGCUAGAAUAUAUUUAAAACAAUCAGAAAACCAGCAGGAGUUUGUGUGCACUAUGAACCUCGUAACAAAGUUAAAUUUUAUUUGGUAUAAAUGGGAAAUAAUAGAAGUUUUACGAAGGAAACUAGCAUAAGAGAGUACAAGAUGAGUGACAAGAUCAUUGCCUCCUCUAGCCCAAAUGAUUUAGAUCCGAACCAAUGUGGUAGCAACAAGAAUGGAAAGAAUGGGGAAAAGGUCAAAUGUAAUUCUAGGAAUUUGAGUUUGGUUAAUCAAAAAACAGUAAUCCAGAAACAGCAGUAAAAUUAAAAGAAAUAUAAAGUCAAAAAAAAAAAAAAAAAAGAUGGCUAAGAGGGAAUCAUGUAAAGAAAAUGACAUUAUUGAGCAUGCAUUCCUUGGCCAAGCAUUUCAAAUACAUAUUUUACUUAGUCUUCACAACCCCGUGAGGUAGUUAGUUAUACUCCCAUUUUAGAAAUGAGGCAAAAGAGGUCAAGGUUCUUCCCCAACGCUCACAAAGGUAAUGAGUUAUGUGUCAUUCCCUCCCUUCUUCCUUCCUAAGAAAACCUCUUUUCAUUCAAAUACAGAGCAGCAACUGCGCAGGAAGGCGGGCCCCUCCCCUAGCCCCGGGACAAUGAAACUUGACUAUUCUAAACAAGGGAAAUCCCAUUUCCAUUGUGCGGUAACCGCCUGACCUAUGAGACAGGAGAAGAAAUAUGUUGAGGGCUUUGGGAAAGACCUUCCUACCUGCAUUAGCAUCACAGAUGUCAGGAGGAAUCUCGAAGCCACCAAUCUAAGAGCUACCCUGGAUUCCUCCGUUUCUUUCAUGCCUGUUUCCCCAUCCCUGUGCAAGUCAAAUCAAUUCUAGUUCCAAAAUAUCUUAAUAACCCUUCCUUUUCUCCUAUCAUUCUUGUCCAAGCUCCAGUAACUGCUCUCCUGGGCAAUCUCCCCAUGGCCACUCCUGCUCCCAACAACCCAUUCCCCAGAGAGCAACCAAAGGAAUCUUUAAAAUGUGAAUCAUGGUUAAACCAAUAAUCAUGAUUCCAAGGAGAAUAAAAAAAAAAAGAUGAUGAUGCUCAAAUGAACUCUAGGGGUAGGAUAAAAUCAUUUUAGAAACUACAAAAUAAAAUAAAAUAACCUUAAGUUGUGACAUAAGCUAGUCACAAUAUGACAAAUACUUAUAAUUCCAAUUACAUGAGUUAUCUGAAGUAGUCAAAUUCAUAGAGAAAAGUAGGAUGGUAGUAAACAUGCUUAACACUACUGAACUGUAGCCUUAAAAAUGUUAAGAUAGUAAAUUUUAUAUUAUGUGCAUUUUUCAUCACAUAAAACCACACACAAAGGCAAAAAAAAAAAAAAAAAAAAAA
rnacentral:lncRNA from 1 species